ACUAAGUGGCCGGAAGCGGUGGCUCAUGCCGGUAAUCCCAGCAGGCCAAGGUUAUCUCAACUUCCAUCAGGCCUCAGCUGAAAGCUCAUCUGCCAAAAUGCAUCAGCACUCAUGUAAAAUAAAAGGAGUAGGGAGGUGACUUUGUACACAUACUGUCCAGUGUUUGGCUUCCAGUUUCCCUCUUGUGUGUAACUAUUCUAGGUAUGACUCCUUGAGCAUGAAAUGAGGGGUAGAUAGAACAGCACAGCUGUUGGGCUAACAAGAAUUGGUGUGUAGACUGGGCACAGUAGCU
rnacentral:lncRNA from 1 species